AGCAGCCGCGGUAAUUCCAGCUCCAAUAGCGUAUAUUAAAGUUGCUGCAGUUAAAAAGCUCGUAGUUGAAUUUCGGGACCAUCACGUCGGUCGUGCCUCGGUACGUACUGGCGCCGUUGGUUUCUCCCUUCUGACGAACCAUGAUGUCAUUUAUUUGGUGUCGUGGGGAAUCAGGACUGUUACUUUGAAAAAAUUAGAGUGUUUAAAGCAGGCUCACGCUUGAAUACAUUAGCAUGGAAUAAUGAAAUAGGACGUUUGAUUCUAUUUUGUUGGUUUCUAGGAUCGACGUAAUGAUUAAUAGGGAUAGUUGGGGGCAUUAGUAUUCAAUUGUCAGAGGUGAAAUUCUUGGAUUUAUUGAAGACUAACUACUGCGAAAGCAUUUGCCAAGGAUGUUUUCAUUAAUCAAGAACGAAAGUUAGGGGAUCGAAGACGAUCAGAUACCGUCGUAGUCUUAACCAUAAACUAUGCCGACUAGGGAUCGGAUGAUGUUAAUUUUUUAAUGACUCAUUCGGCGCCUUACG
rnacentral:rRNA from 1 species